CCUACGGGAGGCAGCAGUGGGGAAUUUUGGACAAUGGGCGCAAGCCUGAUCCAGCAAUGCCGCGUGCAGGAAGAAGGCCUUCGGGUUGUAAACUGCUUUUGUACGGAACGAAACGGUCUGGGUUAAUACCCUGGGCUAAUGACGGUACCGUAAGAAUAAGCACCGGCUAACUACGUGCCAGCAGCCGCGGUAAUA
rnacentral:rRNA from 1 species